rnacentral:sRNA from 1 species
AUGCACGAUGCACCCCGGGCUUCUCUGAGAGUAUAUUUCACUGAAGAAGAAAGCCCCAAUGCUCGUGCUAGAACGUCGCCGUCAAGUGUUGCAGUUUAGCCUCGCUCUUCCCUACGGCUUUUCUGUGUCAAAUCGACGGCUACAUCUCCCCUAAAACCCUAAAUAAUUUUAUCAAUUUUCAGUUUCAUACGGUCCGAUCCGAUGCGCCUCGACACACCUUAAGCCUGUUUUUGAAAAAUCUCCGAAAACUGAGCUAGUCAUGGAGGCGCAAAUCCAAUGGCGGAGUCACACGUGGGGGUUUUUCUCUUCUCAUAGUAUUUCCUCUAAAAACGUCCGCUAAAUUUUCUAUUUUUUUGUGGAUUUUGAUAUCUUUUGUUGAAUUUUUGGCUUUGAUUACAAAUUAUCCGCGCUUCUGAGAGCAAUCGAUGAAGUAGAAUGUGAUAAUAAAUGGUUGAAUUUCUUGAUAUGAGCCAAUUUGUUUUGUGAUUUGUUGGUCUCUGUGUUUGAAAGGUUGAAUUUUUCGGUUAAUUGUGGCGCUGAUGACUGAAAUAUACAGCUUUAUGCCAGUUCUGCUUCAGAAAAUUCGUGAUCGAGAGAGCUGUUUCAUACUCUGAGCCCUUU